GAUGAACGCUAGCUAUAGGCUUAACACAUGCAAGUCGAGGGGUAACGAGAGGAAAGCUUGCUUUCCUUGUCGACGACCGGCGCACGGGUGAGUAACGCGUAUCCAACCUGCCCCCAACUAGGGAAUAACCUUGCGAAAGUAAGACUAAUACCCUAUAAUUUCCUCAGAUGUCAUCUGACGAGGAAUAAAGAUUUAUCGGUUGUGGAUGGGGAUGCGUCUGAUUAGCUUGUUGGCGGGGUAACGGCCCACCAAGGCAACGAUCAGUAGGGGUUCAGAGAGGAAGGUCCCCAACAUUGGAACUCAGACACGGUCCAAACUCCUACGGGAGGCAGCAGUGAGGAAUAUUGGUCAAUGGGCGGAAGCCUGAACCAGCCAAGUAGCGUGCAGGAUGACGGCCCUAUGGGUUGUAAACUGCUUUUAUACAGGAAUAAAGUUAGCCACGUGUGGUUAUUUGUAGGUACUGUAUGAAUAAGGACCGGCUAAUUCCGUGCCAGCCGCCGCAGUAA
rnacentral:rRNA from 1 species